GAUGAACGCUGGCGGCGUGCCUAAUACAUGCAAGUCGAGCGAACAGAUGAGGAGCUUGCUCCUCUGACGUUAGCGGCGGACGGGUGAGUAACACGUGGAUAACCUACCUAUAAGACUGGGAUAACUUCGGGAAACCGGAGCUAAUACCGGAUAAUAUAUUGAACCGCAUGGUUCAAUAGUGAAAGACGGUUUUGCUGUCACUUAUAGAUGGAUCCGCGCCGCAUUAGCUAGUUGGUAAGGUAACGGCUUACCAAGGCAACGAUGCGUAGCCGACCUGAGAGGGGGAACGGGCACACCUGAACCUGGAAACGGUCCCGACCUCCACCGGAAGCCGCAGUAGGGAAAUCUUCGCAAAUGGCGAAAGCCUGACGGAGCAACGCCGCGUGAGUGAUGAAGGUCUUCGGAUCGUAAAACUCUGUUAUUAGGGAAGAACAAAUGUGUAAGUAACUAUGCACGUCUUGACGGUACCUAAUCAGAAAGCCACGGCUAACUACGUG
rnacentral:rRNA from 1 species